UUCAUUGAGUUGGCAUUGCUACUACCGGUAGCGACGGAAACAGUUGAAAGGGCCUUCUCAUCAAUGAAAAUCAUCAAGACUAAGUUGCGCAGCAAGAUGACCGAUGGUUGGCUGAAUGACUUGAUGGUUUGUUAUAUUGAGCGAGAGAUCUUCAAAAGUAUUGAUCUUGGUAAAAUUAAGGAAUAUUUUCAGAAUGAGGGUAGGGCAUUGCCAUUGCCUGGGUCUUCUAGACGCCAUUGA
rnacentral:rRNA from 1 species